UACGUAGGGUGCGAGCGUUAAUCGGAAUUACUGGGCGUAAAGCGUCCGCAGGUGGCCGUUCAAGUCUGCUGUCAAAGACCGGGGCUUAACUUCGGAAAGGCAGUGGAAACUGAACAGCUAGAGUAUGGUAGGGGCAGAGGGAAUUCCUGGUGUAGCGGUGAAAUGCGUAGAGAUCAGGAAGAACAUCGGUGGCGAAGGCGCUCUGCUGGACCAUAACUGACACUCAGGGACGAAAGCUAGGGGAGCGAAUGGG
rnacentral:rRNA from 1 species